ACGUAGGGGGCAAGCGUUGUCCGGAAUUACUGGGCGUAAAGGGCGUGUAGGCGGCCUUGAAAGUUAGGUGUGAAAGGCAAGGGCUCAACCCUUGGAUUGCAUCUAAAACUGCAAGGCUUGAGGAUGAGAGAGGAAAGUGGAAUUCCUAGUGUAGCGGUGAAAUGCGUAGAUAUUAGGAGGAACACCAGUGGCGAAGGCGACUUUCUGGCUCAUACCUGACGCUGAGGCGCGAAAGCGUGGGGAGCAAACAG
rnacentral:rRNA from 1 species